UCGAGGAUCAUUCGCAAUGGGCGCAAGCCUGACGAUGCGACGCCGUGUGAGUGAAGAAGGCCUUCGGGUUGUAAAGCUCUUUCGCCUGGGAACAAGAGAAGCUCAUGAAUAAUGGGCGGAUUUGAGGGUACCAGGUAAAGAAGCACCGGCUAACUCCGUGCCAGCAGCUGCGGUAAUACGGAGGGUGCAAGCAUUAAUCGGAAUUAUUGGGCGUAAAGGGCGCGUAGGCGGGUAAACAAGUCGCAUGUGAAAUCUCUGGGCUCAACCUAGAGGCGGCAUGUGAAACUGUAUAUCUAGAGGAUAGGCGGAGAAAAUGGAAUUCCACAAGUAGCGGUGAAAUGCGUAGAUAUGUGGAAGAACACCAGUGGCGAAGGCGGUUUUCUAGCUUAGACCUGACGCUGAAGCGCGAAAGUAAGGGGAUCAAACAGG
rnacentral:rRNA from 1 species